GGGUCAGUAGGUUGGUCGUGCCACUGGUACGUACUGGUCUCACUGAUUCCUCCUUCCUGAAGAACCGUAAUGCCAUUAAUUUGGUGUUGCGGGGAAACAGGACUGUUACUUUGAAAAAAUUAGAGUGUUUAAAGCAAGCUAACGCUUGAAUACAUUAGCAUGGAAUAAUGAAAUAGGACGAUCGAUCCUAUUUUGCUGGUUUCUAGGAUUGACGUA
rnacentral:rRNA from 1 species